UACGGAAGGUCCGGGCGUUAUCCGGAUUUAUUGGGUUUAAAGGGAGCGCAGACGGUCAGUUAAGCGUGCAGUUAAAUGAUGUGGCUCAACCAUGUUUUGCUGCGCGAACUGGCUGACUUGAGUACACGGAACGUGGGUGGAAUUUGUGGUGUAGCGGUGAAAUGCUUAGAUAUCACGAAGAACUCCGAUUGCGAAGGCAGCCCCCGGCAGUGUCACUGACGUUCAUGCUCGAAGGUGCGGGUAUC
rnacentral:rRNA from 1 species